rnacentral:rRNA from 1 species
UACAGAGGGUGCGAGCGUUAAUCGGAAUUACUGGGCGUAAAGCGCGCGUAGACGGUUUUGUAAGUCAGAUGUGAAAUCCCUGGGCUCAACCUGGGAACUGCAUUUGAUACUGCAUGGCUAGAGUAUCGAAGAGGGAAGUGGAAUUUCCGGUGUAGCGGUGAAAUGCGUAGAUAUCGGGAGGAACACCAGUGGCGAAGGCGGCGAUCUGGGAAGAUACUGACGCUGAGGUGCGAAAGCGUGGGGAGCAAACAGG